rnacentral:rRNA from 1 species
UGGGGAAUAUUGCGCAAUGGGCGAAAGCCUGACGCAGCCACGCCGCGUGAGCGAUGAAGGCCUUCGGGUCGUAAAGCUCUGUGGGGAGAGACGAAGAAAGCCGGUGAAGAGCCGGCCUUGACGGUAUCUCCUUAGCAAGCACCGGCUAACUCCGUGCCAGCAGCCGCGGUAAUACGGAGGGUGCGAACGUUGCUCGGAAUCAUUGGGCGUAAAGCGCACGUAGGCGGCGGCGUAAGCGGGAUGUGAAAGCCCAGGGCUCAACCCUGGAAGUGCAUCCCGAACUGUGUCGCUUGAAUCUCGGAGGGGGACAGAGAAUUCCCGGUGUAGAGGUGAAAUUCGUAGAUAUCGGGAGGAAUACCAGUGGCGAAGGCGCUGUCCUGGACGAAGAUUGACGCUGAGGUGCGAAAGCGUGGGGAGCAAACAGG